UAUUUCUAUAAAAAUGCAAAACAUAAGUUGGUUUAAAAGACUUUUAAAAAAGUACUUUUAUUAACUAUUAAU